AAUUUCAAAGCAAUGGCGCGCCGCUCCGCUGCUCCACUUGAAAAACGGGCGUUCAUUGAAGGACCGCGGGGCGCGCGCCGGCGGCGCGACCACUGGGGUCCAGCGCGGCGGGGGCGCUGCUCGAGCGCGGGACCAGGUGCCGGGGUCAUAUCAGAGCCCUUCCCAAUGGUAGUACUCCAGGAGGACUACGGAGUUUAGCGCAUGUAAUCGAUGAAAUCGUUCACUUUGCUGUUUGCCUUUCACGGUAUCGUCCUGAAUUUCUCUUUCCUUCAGUCCUAUUUUCAUCUCUGGAGUAGUAACCAGAUCAGGAGGAGAUAUUAAAAGUAUUGUGAUUCAACUGUUA